UGGGAAAAAAAGACAAUUCAACAUAAAGAAGACAAUUCAUUAAAAAUAAAUGGUCACAUAAAUAAUAUUGCAAAUAUUUAAUUACUAUAUUUAAAAUAAUUACUUACUUAAACCUUUAGAUUGAUUAAAAUGUAAGUCCUAAAAUUAUGAAAAAGCACGGUGUGCACCAUCUACCCUUUAAUCAUUGCUACUAACUGGUAAAGGUCACAAAUGGCACGAGUCAGUGAGCUAUUAUCCAGAAUGUUGUGUCUUGAGCUACAAUUUAAAAAAAAAAAAAAAAAAAAAAAAAAAAA